rnacentral:rRNA from 1 species
UACGAAGGGCGCAAGCGUUAUCCGGAAUUAUUGGGCGUAAAGAGCUCGUAGGCGGUUUGUCGCGUCUGCCGUGAAAGUCCGGGGCUCAACUCCGGAUCUGCGGUGGGUACGGGCAGACUAGAGUGAUGUAGGGGAGACUGGAAUUCCUGGUGUAGCGGUGGAAUGCGCAGAUAUCAGGAGGAACACCAGUAGCGAAGGCAGAUCUCUGGGCCGUAACUGACGCUGAGGAGCGAAAGCAUGGGGAGCGAACAGG